rnacentral:rRNA from 1 species
UACGUAGGGUGCGAGCGUUGUCCGGAAUUAUUGGGCGUAAAGGGCUCGUAGGCGGUUUGUCGCGUCGGGAGUGAAAACCUCGGGCUUAACUCGGGGCUUGCUUUCGAUACGGGCAGACUGGGGGUAUGCAGGGGAGAACGGAAUUCCUGGUGUAGCGGUGAAAUGCGCAGAUAUCAGGAGGAACACCGGUGGCGAAGGCGGUUCUCUGGGCAUGACCUGACGCUGAGGAGCGAAAGUGUGGGGAGCGAACAGG